rnacentral:rRNA from 1 species
GAACGCUGGCGGCGUGCCUAAUACAUGCAAGUCUAACGAACUCUGGUAUUGAUUGGUGCUUGCAUCAUGAUUUACAUUUGAGUGAGUGGCGAACUGGCGAGUAACACGUGGGAAACCUGCCCAGAAGCGGGGGAUAACACCUGGAAACAGAUGCUAAUACCGCAUAACAACUUGGACCGCAUGGUCCGAGUUUGAAAGAUGGCUUCGGCUAUCACUUUUGGAUGGUCCCGCGGCGUAUUAGCUAGAUGGUGGGGUAACGGCUCACCAUGGCAAUGAUACGUAGCCGACCUGAGAGGGUAAUCGGCCACAUUGGGACUGAGACACGGCCCAAACUCCUACGGGAGGCAGCAGUAGGGAAUCUUCCACAAUGGACGAAAGUCUGAUGGAGCAACGCCGCGUGAGUGAAGAAGGGUUUCGGCUCGUAGAACUCUGUUGUUAAAGAAGAACAUAUCUGAGAGUAACUGUUCAGGUAUUGACGGUAUUUAACCAGAAAGCCACGGCUAACUACGUGCCAGCAGCCGCGGUAAUACGUAGGUGGCAAGCGUUGUCCGGAUUUAUUGGGCGUAAAGCGAGCGCAGGCGGUUUUUUAAGUCUGAUGUGAAAGCCUUCGGCUCAACCGAAGAAGUGCAUCGGAAACUGGGAAACUUGAGUGCAGAAGAGGACAGUGGAACUCCAUGUGUAGCGGUGAAAUGCGUAGAUAUAUGGAAGAACACCAGUGGCGAAGGCGGCUGUCUGGUCUGUAACUGACGCUGAGGCUCGAAAGUAUGGGUAGCAAACAGGAUUAGAUACCCUGGUAGUCCAUACCGUAAACGAUGAAUGCUAAGUGUUGGAGGGUUUCCGCCCUUCAGUGCUGCAGCUAACGCAUUAAGCAUUCCGCCUGGGGAGUACGGCCGCAAGGCUGAAACUCAAAGGAAUUGACGGGGGCCCGCACAAGCGGUGGAGCAUGUGGUUUAAUUCGAAGCUACGCGAAGAACCUUACCAGGUCUUGACAUACUAUGCAAAUCUAAGAGAUUAGACGUUCCCUUCGGGGACAUGGAUACAGGUGGUGCAUGGUUGUCGUCAGCUCGUGUCGUGAGAUGUUGGGUUAAGUCCCGCAACGAGCGCAACCCUUAUUAUCAGUUGCCAGCAUUAAGUUGGGCACUCUGGUGAGACUGCCGGUGACAAACCGGAGGAAGGUGGGGAUGACGUCAAAUCAUCAUGCCCCUUAUGACCUGGGCUACACACGUGCUACAAUGGAUGGUACAACGAGUUGCGAACUCGCGAGAGUAAGCUAAUCUCUUAAAGCCAUUCUCAGUUCGGAUUGUAGGCUGCAACUCGCCUACAUGAAGUCGGAAUCGCUAGUAAUCGCGGAUCAGCAUGCCGCGGUGAAUACGUUCCCGGGCCUUGUACACACCGCCCGUCACACCAUGAGAGUUUGUAACACCCAAAGUCGGUGGGGUAACCUUUUAGGAACCAGCCGCCUAAGGUGGGACAGAUGAUUAGGG